GCCGGGCAUGGUGGCUCGCGCCUGUAAUCCCAGCACAUUGGGAGGCUGAGGUGGGCGGAUCACCUGAGGUCAGGAGUUUGAGACCAGCCUGGCCAACAUGGUGAGACCCCAUCUCUA
rnacentral:SRP_RNA from 1 species